GGUUUCAGCUUUUGAGCUCUCAGAACCUGCCAGGUCAAUGAGGUUCUGCAGAUAUAAGUG
rnacentral:sRNA from 1 species